UAUACACAAUAAUCAAAUCUCGAGAUGUCAAGUUCACUCAUAUACAUUAUAUAUUUUUUUACUGUCUAUAUUAGUUACCACAAAUCAGAGAAAACGUGAUAUUUGUCAUUUUUGGACUGGCUUAUUUCACUAACCAGUGAGUGGUUUCCAGUUGCAGCUAUUUGCUUGCAAAAGGCAGGAUUUCAUUCAUUCUUUACUCUGAGUAGUAUUCCAUAGUGCAUAGGUAAUAUAAAUGUUUAUACAGUCAUCAGUUGAUGGACAAGCUAGGUUGAUUCCAUAUCUUAUCUUAGCUAUUGUGAACCAAUCUGCAAUAAACAUAAGGGUCCAGAUAACUCCUUCAUAUGAUCACUUCAUUUCCCUUGGGUUAAUUCCCAGGAGUGGGAUUGCUGGGUCAUAUGUUAGAUCUCUUCUCAGCUUUCUGAAGAAUCUCCAUACUGUCUACCACAAUGGCUAUACUUGUUUACAUUCCAACCAACAGUGUAUUUUGGUAUCUUUUUUCCCCACAUUCUCUCCAGCGUUUAUUGUUUUUUGGAUUUUGAGUGAUAGCCAUUCUAACUGGGGCGAGGUGAAACCUCAUUGUGUUUUUAUUUGCAUUUACCUGAUGGAUAGUGACCCUGGGCAUCUUUUCAUGUGUCUAUUGGACAUUCGAAUUUCAUCCUUUGAAAAAUUUCUGUUCAUAUCCUUAGUUGAUUUGUUAACUGGAUUGUUUGAUUUGUUGCCAUUUUUCCCUUCCUUCCUUCCUUCCUUCCUUCCUUCCUUCCUUCCUCCCUCCCUCCCUCCCUCCCUCCCUUCCUUCCUUCCUUCCUUCCUUUCUUCCUUCUCUUUCUUUCUCUUUCUUCCUUCUCUCUCUCUUUUUCUUUCUUUCUUUCUUUCUUUCUUUCUUUCUAUCUUUCUUUCUUUUCUUUCUUUCUUUCUUACUUUUUCUCUCUCUUUCUUUCUUUCUUUCUUUCUUUCUUUCUUUCUUUCUUUCUUUCUUUCUUUCUUUCUCUUCUAUCUUUCCCUUCUUCCUUCCUUCCUUCCUUCCUUCCUUCCUUCCAUCCAUCCUUCCUUCCUUCCUUCUUCCUUCCUUCCCAUUUU
rnacentral:lncRNA from 1 species